rnacentral:rRNA from 1 species
UACAGAGGGUGCAAACGUUGCUUGGAAUCAUUGGGCGUAAAGCGCACGUAGGCGGCCCAGCAAGCGGGGAGUGAAAGCCCUCGGCUUAACCGAGGAAGUGCUUUCCGAACUACUGGGCUUGAAUACUGGAGAGGGUCGCGGAAUUCCCGGUGUAGAGGUGAAAUUCGUAGAUAUCGGGAGGAACACCAGUGGCGAAGGCGGCGACCUGGACAGAUAUUGACGCUGAGGUGCGAAAGCGUGGGAGCAAACAGG